GGACACAGAAGAUGCUGGCACACAGUAAACAUUCGGCGACCGUUGGCUGCCAGCGUCAUGACUUCUUCUACAAUUACUGUCAUUGCUACUGCUGCCGCAGGGGAGGGCCAAGGGACCUAGGCCUUCAGCAUUUCACAGGUUCGUUUAAUCCGUAUAGCCUGAAAGUCCGGGACACCUUUAAACUCCUGAAGAACCUUCGCACGUGACUUCAGGUGCAAGCAGGUCUCCCUUGGCCUUCAUUAUUUGCCACUGGAAAAUGCUGUAAAUGACAUCAGACAGACUUCAGACGCCACCUCUGGAACUAAGAAACGAAGCAGUUAUUCAGAGCACCGGUGAUUGUCAUUUUAGAAGAAAUAAGAAAUCAGUAUCGCAGUCGUGGAUCCUGGCAGUUUUUUCCUACCUGGAGCUGCUCUCGGUGGAAGCGUUGUGGCUUUCAAGGGCAACAGCGCCCCCGUGUGGUGAUACUGUUUAUUGCGCCCCAGGAGAGCUUGCAAACUCCGGGGCUGCAAGGAAAUGCCGGGCGGCCUCAGGCAAGGACAUCCAUUCACCCCAAAAUAAUUUCUGCAUUAAGCCGACAGGCUGGUUUCUGCCAAAAAGAUGAGCGCAUUUAAGUUUUACUGUACUGAUAUUGUGUCUUAAAACUUAGCAUCUCUUCUUGCCUGUGAAAGCAGGAAAAGGGCGGCCAGCGGCAUGGGUUGCUUGCAAUCCUUUCCAGGGUUUGAAAGUGUGGGGUGAGUGGAAGGCGUGGGAUUGCAGGGACGAAGUGAAGAUCAGGAGGGAGGAGGAGUGGCCCGGCAGGGCUGGGAGCCAGGGAGUAGAGGGGGUAGGGUAACAUUUGGUAAUAAAAAUGAUGGGAAGUAGAAUAGCUUGUAUUUUAAACUAGAAUCGAUGGCUGCAUAGCAACAGAGAAGCAAAUCGGUGUCACCAAAAUUCAGAAUUCCUAGCUCUAACGUGAUGCUUUCCAUGGCUGCCUCCCUACCUCAGGCGGACCCUCCAUGCUCUCUUGAGAAAGAAGGAUCUAGUUUCUCCUAACUGUGAGUGUCUGGGAUGCCCCUCCAGAAGCUUCCCAAACCACUGUGCCCUGACCUCUGAGGAGCUGAGGUAGAGAAGGACAAGCACAGGACUCGAAACCCCAAGACUGGAUUCUGUUCCCAGCAUCGUUGGGGUGCUAAGCGGGAAGGCAUUCAUCACCCACCUCUCUUGUCGUUCUUAAGUUCUCUGCGGACAGCACACCCCUGACACCCGCACCCUGCCUACAGCUCCCCCCUUCUCCUCUCUUGGAGGCCACUGCACCUUGACUUGUGGGCUGCCACAGGGCACAGGGGGCUCCAGGGUCCCCACCGGAAAAGCGGAAAGAGUGCCCCCUGCUGACCUCACAGAGUUAUCUCAAGCGUUAAACUGCAUCUGAGAAUGAAUUCCUGAAUCGUCGCACCUACGAUGGGCACCUUUAGAUCUAUGAUAGAAAUAAAUAAAUAAUAACCUAAA